rnacentral:rRNA from 1 species
GGUUAAAUCCCGCAACGAGCGCAACCCUUGUUCCUAGCUGCUUCGCAAGAGCACUCAAGGGAGACUGCCGGUGACAAACCGGAGGAAGGUGGGGAUGACGUCAAGUCCUCAUGGCCCUUAUGGGUAGGGCUUCACACGUCAUACAAUGGUCGGAACAGAGGGUAGCAAGCCGCGAGGUGGAGCCAAUCCCAGAAAACCGAUCGUAGUCCGGAUCGCAGUCUGCAACUCGACUGCGUGAAGCUGGAAUCGCUAGUAAUCGUGGAUCAGCAUGUCAGCGGGAAU